CCUACGGGAGGCAGCAGUGAGGAAUAUUGGACAAUGGAGGCAACUCUGAUCCAGCCAUGCCGCGUGCAGGAAGACUGCCCUAUGGGUUGUAAACUGCUUUUAUACAGGAAGAAACACCUCUACGUGUAGAGGCUUGACGGUACUGUAAGAAUAAGGAUCGGCUAACUCCGUGCCAGCAGCCGCGGUAAUACGGAGGAUCCAAGCGUUAUCCGGAAUCAUUGGGUUUAAAGGGUCCGUAGGUGGAUAAUUAAGUCAGAGGUGAAAUCUUGCAGCUCAACUGUAAAAUUGCCUUUGAAACUGGUUAUCUUGAGUUAUUAUGAAGUAGUUAGAAUAUGUAGUGUAGCGGUGAAAUGCAUAGAUAUUACAUAGAAUACCAAUUGCGAAGGCAGAUUACUAAUAAUCAACUGACACUGAUGGACGAAAGCGUGGGUAGCGAACAGGAUUAGAUACCCUGGUAGUCCACGCCGUAAACGAUGGUUACUAGCUGUUUGGACUUCGGUCUGAGUGGCUAAGCGAAAGUGAUAAGUAACCCACCUGGGGAGUACGUUCGCAAGAAUGAAACUCAAAKGAAUUGACGG
rnacentral:rRNA from 1 species